rnacentral:rRNA from 1 species
UGGCGAACGGGUGAGUAACACGUGGGUGAUCUGCCCUGCACUCUGGGAUAAGCCUGGGAAACUGGGUCUAAUACCGGAUAGGACCAUGCUUUAGUGUGUGUGGUGGAAAGUUUUUUCGGUGUAGGAUGAGCCCACGGCCUAUCAGCUUGUUGGUGGGGUAAUGGCCUACCAAGGCGGCGACGGGUAGCCGGACUGAGAGGUUGGUCGGCCACAUUGGGACUGAGAUACGGCCCAG